ensembl:miRNA
GCUGGGCGUGGUGGCGGGCGCCUGUGAUCCCAGCUACUCAGGAAGCUGAGGCAGGAGAAUGGCUUGAACCCAGGAGGCGGAGCUUGCAGUGAGC